rnacentral:rRNA from 1 species
CAGCCGCCGCGGUAAUAUGAAGGGGGCUAGCGUUGCUCGGAAUCACUGGGCGUAAAGGGUGCGUAGGCGGGUCUUUAAGUCAGGGGUGAAAUCCUGGAGCUCAACCCCAGAACUGCCUUUGAUACUGAAGAUCUUGAGUUCGGGAGAGGUGAGUGGAACUGCGAGUGUAGAGGUGAAAUUCGUAGAUAUUCGCAAGAACACCAGUGGCGAAGGCGGCUCACUGGCCCGAUACUGACGCUGAGGCACGAAAGCGUGGGGAGCAAACAGGAUUAGAUACCCCCGUAGUCCCUGUCUCUUAUAC